rnacentral:rRNA from 1 species
UACGUAGGGGGCGAGCGUUGUCCGGAUUUAUUGGGCGUAAAGAGCGCGUAGGCGGUGCGUUAAGUCCGCGGUGAAAUCUCCCGGCUCAACUGGGAGGGUGCCGAGGAUACUGGCGUGCUGGAGGACGGCAGAGGAAGGUGGAAUUCCCGGUGUAGUGGUGAAAUGCGUAGAGAUCGGGAGGAACACCAGUGGCGAAAGCGGCCUUCUGGGCCGGUCCUGACGCUGAGGCGCGAAAGCGUGGGGAGCGAACCGG